UUUAUAAAGAACAAAGGUUUCAUUGACUCGUGGUUCUGCCGGCUGUACAGGAAGUAUGACGGGAAGGCCUCAGGAAACUUAGAAUCAUGGGGGAAGGUGAAGGGGAAGCUGACACGUCCUACCUGGCUGGAGCAGGAGGAGGCGAGCGGGGCAGAGGACCCAAGGAGAACUAAUUGUGUCAUUCCAUUCCAAUCCAAGUGCAAAUGCGUGAGAAACAAGAAAGCUGAUGGGAUAAGUUCCAGUCUGAAAGCUGGAAGAACCCGGAUUUAAGAAGAGCUGGCUUCAGUUCUAUUCUGAAGGUUCUCACUUUGUCACCCAGGGGUACAAUCUUGGCUCACAGCAGAUUCAACCUUCUGAGUUCAAGCUAUCCUCCUGUCUCAGUCCCGCAAAUAGCUGGGACUACAGCAGCAUGCCACCACAUUUGGCUAUUUUUUUUUUUUUUUUGUAGAGAUGAGAUUUCACUAUGUUGCCCAGGCAGGUCUUGAACUUCUGAGAUCAGGCGAUUCUCCCACCUUGGCCUCUCAAAGUGCUAGGAUUACAAGCAUCAGCCACUGUACCUGGUGAAAAUGUCUCUCAAUGUUAUGGUAAUUUUCUUCAUAACUUUCUUGCACUUCUACUGCUUUUGAUCUUAAGUAAUUUGUAGAUUUCUUUAUUUUGCCAUUAUAAGUGUGGUUGCCCUUUUUAUUCCAUUUCUUUUAC
rnacentral:lncRNA from 1 species